rnacentral:rRNA from 1 species
UCGGGUGCUGACGAGUGGCGGACGGGUGAGUAAUGCGUAGGAAUCUGUCUUUUAGUGGGGGACAACCCAGGGAAACUUGGGCUAAUACCGCAUGAGCCCUGAGGGGGAAAGCGGGGGAUCUUCGGACCUCGCGCUAAGAGAAGAGCCUACGUCUGAUUAGCUAGUUGGUAGGGUAAAGGCCUACCAAGGCGACGAUCAGUAGCUGGUCUGAGAGGACGACCAGCCACACUGGGACUGAGACACGGCCCAGACUCCUACGGGAGGCAGCAGUGGGGAAUUUUUCGCAAUGGGGGCAACCCUGACGAAGCAAUGCCGCGUGGAUGAAGAAGGCCUUCGGGUUGUAAAGUCCUUUCGUGGGGGCGAAAAGGUGGUUCCUAAUACGAGCUGCUGUUGACGUGAACCCAAGAAGAAAGCACCGGCUAACUCCGUGCCAGCAAGCCGCGGUAAUACGGGGGGUGCGAAGCGUUAAUCGGAAUCACUGGCGUAAAGGGUGCGUAGGCGGUACGUUAGGUCUGUCGUGAAA